CUUUCUGAAAGAGUUAAAGAUCAGGCUACCGUGAUCCUGCUAUAAAGCAGCACAACGCAUCAGAGCUCACUCUUGGAAGCAGCCCUCAUGCCCAUCAACAGAUGAAUGGUGAAAGAAAAUGAGGCGUUUACACGAUGGAGUACUACUCUGCUAUGAAGAGGGAUAGAGUUACUCAUUUGUGGGAAAAUGGAUGUACCUCGAGACCACAGUGUGAAGUGAAGCCCGAUGCUGUCGUCUGCGAGCAAGGAAGCUUUGUCGUGGGUCUUGUACUCUGCUAGGAUAAGAGGCGCUGCGAAAACGCUGCCCACAGAUAACCGACAUCUCCUCUCCUGAGUGCUGGGGGAGCCUAAAAUAUCGUGAGACGAGGGGGGAGCGCAGGGCAUGCGGACAAGCGCUUCGGACGGGCAGCAGCAUGCUUGGGCGUUGGACAAGCUGCUGGGAGCAGAUUUGGAAGCCCGGGCUCAGCAAUCAAAGGGGACAGCGGUCAGCAUGGGGCCGGAAAGGAGGCAGGCACUGAGCCGCUGUGCUCACCAAUUAGCCUCUGACUCCCAACUCUGCGAGACUGAAGGAUUCUGAGCAGAAACAAGAAGAUUUAACCAGAAUCUGUCUCCAGCAGAAAGGAGAGGGUGGAGUUCUUCGUCCUCCGUCUGAGUCAGGACUAAGAACUCACGGAAGCCAGAGGCACGAAGGCUCUGGAGAGCUGAGACCUUGA